UACAGAGGGGGCAAGCGUUAUUCGGAAUUAUUGGGCGUAAAGGGCGCGUAGGCGGCUUGGCAAGUGGAAGGUGAAAUCCCUCGGCUUAACCGAGGAACUGCCCUCCAAACUGCUUUGCUUGAGGCCGGGAGAGGUGAGUGGAAUUCCCAGUGUAGCGGUGAAAUGCGUAGAUAUUGGGAGGAACACCUAUGGCGAAGGCAGCUCGCUGGGACGUUACUGACGCUGAGACGCGAAAGCGUGGGGAGCAAACAGG
rnacentral:rRNA from 1 species